UCCAAAUCAGUCGCCCUUUCUCUCUAGACGUUCUCUCUCUCUCCUCUCUAUAUUCUCUCUAAAAAACCCUAUAAUUAUCGUCUAUCCUUUUCCAGAGAUCCCACGUCGGUGACACCUUCCUCGAGUUUGCCGAUGCACCAGCCAUGACAUCUUCACCAACAACGGUGAGAACCCAACCUUACCGUCUUACCUCCUUCUCUGGCGAAACCACCGCCAGCAGCCCUCAAAACCGUCGAAACCUGCCUCCAACAGCAACGAUCAGUGAUGACCCACCCCGUCCCUCCAAAUCUACUGCUGCCGCUGCCCCUCAACACCGGUAAACCCCUCAAGCCUCCGUCACCAGCCCCCUCCGUUCGUCGCACUAUCUUCAGGCAUUGCCACCAACAAUCUCUGUUUGGUUUAUCUUCUCAAAUACUUCAAGUGGCUUGUUUGUUUUCUUCAUUAAAUAAAUCAGUUUUUAAAAUCUACAAGUUGUGAAACUCUUUUUUGAUAUGAUCACAAAUGCCUGUCUGUGAAAAUCCUCAAAUCCUUAGAUUUUGGUCCGUUUUAACUGUGCAUGUCUGAAUUGCUUUUAAUUUCUUGUUGACUAUUUUAUGAUCACCUAUCAGGUAUAAUUACAACCUUCCUUGCUCUAUUUUGAUUUUAAACGAUAUGUUUUGCCAAGUAUUACAGCUUGAGGACAUCUAAUCGAUCUCGGAUUGUAUGACAGCUUAGUAUUGAAUUAUACUUGACAUAUUUUGAUUGAUUUUUCUCUAUCCCUUGAUUAAUGUGAUUUUAGUAUUGAAAUUGAUAAAUUAUUUUUGGCAUAUUCAGAUAUCUAGUUGGCUUUAACUUGCGGUGUGUAACAUAUUUUUGGCAAGAUAGGAUUAAUUGUGCAUAAACAAUUUGACAGCUCUAUAUUUGUCAGUUUUGUCAUUUAUGGUGAGUAAGUUUUAUUAGUCUCAUCAAAUAUUCUUAUUGACGCAUUUAUGUUAAAUUACGUUUGAUUAAUAUUUUCCUUCUUUUAUUUAGUUUUGAUAGAUUCUAUUGUCAUGUGUUAUCUUUAUAUUUAGGGAAAGUUUUGUUUAUUGAUUACAUCAAAUAUGCUCUUUGUUGAUUGAUAUCUCUCUUCGUUAUUAUGUUUGGACUGAUUUUAAAUUUAAUUGACUUAUAUAAGUGUGAAAAAUUCUUGAUUUACUGAUUUUAUUUUUCCUAAUUAACUGACAAAAGAUAUUCUCUUUUCUUUAUUUGUCUGACCCAUUCACUAUAUAAACCCCCCUCUCCUUUCAUUGAGGGACAAGUUCACAAUCUCUUAAGUUCACGGCUUAAGUUUCACAAUUCACAAUCAAGUACUCUCUUAACAAAAAUCAUUGGCUACUUUCAUAUAAAAAUAAUUAGAUACUUUAAAGGUUCUUUGGUUCUCCUGCAAGGCUGCUGAAAAAUACUUUGCGUAUUUCAUUAUUACAAAUUGCUUGGGUUUUAUUGCUCUUAUUAUCUCUUUUACUGUUAUUACUGGUAAGUUCACGAAUCAAUGCAAUUAUUUUAUUCUCUGUGUAUGUGUUGACUGCAUGAUGGUUUAGGAACAUGCCUAUAAGAAUACUUCGAUGUUUGUUCUUGUUUGUUUGCAAUUUUGUAUUGUUUCGCAGGUUCAAAUAGACACUUAUAAAGUUCCGAAGAGUCGCCGGGAUAUUAAACUGAAUAUUGUUAUAGCUAGUUGUUUUCUUUAUUUUGUAUUAUUCGGUUUGUAAUAUCUUCGUAUAAACAUUGUUCUUGAUAUAAUAAUAAUUUUGGGGGACUGCUUUAGGGGGCGGGGAUUUACGUGCUCUAUGAACAGUAUAGGUAGGCACAACCUAGGGUUAUGUGCAAUACGUGUUACAUGAAUCAUCUAGGCAUAAAAUUAGGAUAAUUUUCUAUGGUUUAUUAAUCAUCCUUGAUCUAACUAA
rnacentral:lncRNA from 1 species